ACAGCUCUUUUAUGUGCUGCAUUGCUGUUAAACAUUCUGUUAUUUAUUUCUUUUGCUGUAGUUGAGAAGGAAGGAGAGGAGUAAACUGCUUCCCUUGAGAACUGCGGAAUUUGGUGCCUGAAAUUACAGAAUCACAGAAUGUGCUGAGUUGGAAGGGACCCACAGGGAUCACAGAGUCCAACUGCACAGAACCAUCACCAAGAGUCAUAUCCUGUGCCCAAGAGUGAUGAGCACCUUGUGGCCUUUGGGUGCUUUAACUCCUCUGGCACCACCUCAGUUCUGUGAAGCAAGGUGGAGAAUCCUUUUGUAUCCUUAGCCAGGAAUCACUGAAGAGCAAGAGCACACAGAAAGCAGCCCAGCAGGCUCGGGGCACAUGAGAAAGAGCUGAGUUCCAGCCACCCAAAUAUUCCUCUGAUGUGGAGGAGUCAAA
rnacentral:lncRNA from 12 species